rnacentral:rRNA from 1 species
UAGGGAAUAUUGGACAAUGGGGGCAACCCUGAUCCAGCCAUGCCGCGUGAGUGAAGAAGGCCCUCGGGUUGUAAAGCUCUUUUGUCCGGAAAGAAAAGCAUUCGGUGAAUACCCGGAUGUUCUGACGGUACCGGAAGAAUAAGCACCGGCUAACUUCGUGCCAGCAGCCGCGGUAAUACGAAGGGUGCAAGCGUUACUCGGAAUUACUGGGCGUAAAGCGUGCGUAGGUGGUUGUUUAAGUCUGAUGUGAAAGCCCUGGGCUCAACCUGGGGAGGGCAGUGGAAACUGGGCAGCUAGAGUGCGGUAGAGGGUAGUGGAAUUCCCGGUGUAGCAAUGAAAUGCGUAGAGAUCGGGAGGAACAUCUGUGGCGAAGGCGACUGCCUGGACCAGCACUGACACAGAGGCACGAAAGCGUGGG